ACCCACCAAUGGGCAAUGACUAGCUAAUGUGGUUGCAACUUGUAGGAGUCUAGCAAAAUUCCAUACACUUCAACAUCACUGGAGACUAUGGAAAGAUUGAACUUCGGUACAUCUACCGGCAUGGUUUGCGGAGUUUCCUUCAACGCUCCUAAAUACAACUUCAUGUAGGUGACGCACUCGUGCGCAAUAUAUAUAUGCUUCAGCUAUACAUCCUUCAGGCGCGGAUUUAUUAGCCACAUAAUCUUUGUAGUCUCCAAGUUGCCUAUAAAUCAAGUUGUAAAAUGUUAUGAUUAUUGAACAUGUAUAUAUAUUGAGGAAUUCAGGUGUCAAAAACGUACAUUUCCAUGGGAUACAUCCAAGUGUAGUGUACUGGACCGGUAAGCAACAAUUGCUCGGGAAGAUGGAUUAUCAGGUGAGGCAUGAUGUCAAAAAAAUUUGGAGGAAAUAUCCUCUCAAAUUUACACAUGAUAUAAAUGAUGUCCUCUUGCAUUUCCCGGAGGUUAGAUUUUUUCACUUCCCAUUUGCAUAACUUCUGGAAGAAUCUUGCCAACGCUGCUAACGGCUCCACCACCAGACGGGGAAGGAACAGUCUAAUGAAAACAUGGAAGAGAUGUUGUAGCAGGAUAUGACAGUCAUGACUCUUUAACCCGUACAUCUUAUUGUCCCGGAAGUUCACACACCGGGCUAUAUUUCCUCCAUCUUCUGGGAGACACACCGUUUUCUACGGUCCCAUCAAAUGCCUGUGCAUCGAGCCGCCAUUCGUGAUCAUAUGGAAGGAGAGUACGGUGACCCAAUUUGCAUAUCUUGUUGCAAUGACUGCUGCUCCUCUCAUCGCUAAGGCACUCUGGACAAGCCUUGUAUCCCCUAACAACGUUGCCCGAUAACAUCCCACGGGCAGGAAAAUCACUGAUGGUACCAACAACCAUGACAUGCAUCUGGAACAUCUCGUGCAUGUACUUGUCAUAAGUGGGAUGACCAACGUCCCACAAAAACUUAAGCUCUUCAAUCAAAGGUCUCAAAUACACAUCGAGACACUUC
rnacentral:lncRNA from 1 species